GCGACGAAGCGUAGGGCUUCUUCGGCGGAGUGCAAUGGCGAUGGUGGAGUGCCAUACCAUUGCUCGUCAGUCCCGCGGGUCCAUUAGAGUGGCCAUGCUGUUGUAGAUAAUCGCAGGACGGCGUGCAUCGUAUUGUCCAUCUCGUUGAAGUGCAACCGGAGGGAUUCAUAUUCUCGCCACAGUUGCGUCUGCCGUGGUGGAAGCGGUGAAAUUUGGUCGAGCAUGGUAUUCAUGCCUUUGGACAAUCCCAUGCUCAACCUAUAGACGUUGGAUUCUCUUCUGGAUAGGUGUGGUGCCCUCGAAGGGAAGGCAGAGACAUGCAGCGACAGGCGUCGACGCCUCAUCAUGGCUAGAAGCUCUUGUACGUGAAAAGAAUGUCUUCAACAGUUGAUUGCCAGUGUAUGAGAGAUGUGCCGUUGCUGGAGGAGACCUACAAGAAUACCUCGUAAUUCUGAAAGAAAAUUCACUCAAGUUCAGUAUAAUUUUGAAUUGGCAAGGCUUUUUUUUUAAUAUGACGGAGUUCUUGAUAUGAAUGAUUUGUGAUUCUUAUUUAGCGCAAUAGUUAUUAACCCAAUUCUUCGGUCUUUGACAUAAAAGUGUGCUUCUGUCGCUUUCAACGGCUGAGACUUUCUCAUCUACUAUUGUAUAUUGGGCUAUCGACUGGGUGGUGUUCUA